GGGGCGGUAGCUCAGCCGGUCAGAGCAGAGGGCUCAUAACCCUUGGGUCGUGGGUUCGAGUCCCACCCGCCCCACCA
rnacentral:tRNA from 1 species